rnacentral:rRNA from 1 species
AGACGUCGCCCGGAGAUGGAUUCUGAGACACGAAUCCAGGCCCUACGGGGCGCAGCAGUCGCGAAAACUUGUCAAUGCGGGAAACCGCGAACAGGGGAGUCCAAGUGCUUGCACUUUGUGUAAGCUGUUCGGUUGUCUAAAAAACAGCCGAAGGAAGGGCUGGGUAAGACAGGUGCCAGCCGCCGCGGUAAUACCUGCAGCCCGAGUGGUGAUCGAUUUUAUUGAGCCUAAAGCGUCCGUAGCCGGACUAGUAAACCCUUGGGUAAAUUGGGCAGCUUAACUGUCCGAAUUCCGAGGGGACUGCUAGACUUGGGACCGGGAGAGGUCAGAGGUACUCCAGGGGUAGGGGCUAAAUCCGAUAUGGUUUCGUGCCAUUCGGUUAGCAUUCCUGUAAUCCUUGGGGGACCACCAGUGGCGAAGGCGUCUGACUAGAACGGAUCCGACGGUAAGGGACGAAACCCUGGGGCGCGAACCGGAUUAGAUACCCGGGUAGUCCAGGGCGUAAACGCUGCAGGCUUGGUGUUGGGGACCCUACGAGGGUGCCCAGUGCCGGAGUGAAGAUGUU